CAAUAGCGUAUAUUUAAGUUGUUGCAGUUAAAAAGCUCGUAGUUGGAUUUCGGGUGGGACGCAGCGGUCUCGCAUUGCGUUUGUACUGCUGCAGCCCUCCUUCUUGCCGGGGGCGGCCUCUCGGACUUCACUGUCUGGGGGUCAGAAUCGGCGAUGUUACUUUGAGUAAAUUAGAGUGUUCAAAGCAAGCUUACGCUCUGAAUAUAAUAGCAUGGGAUAACACGACAGGACUCUGGCCUAUCGUGUUGGUCUAUAGGACCAGAGUAAUGAUUAAGAGGGACAGUCGGGGGCAUUCGUAUUCCGUUGUCAGAGGUGAAAUUCUUGGAUUUACGGAAGACGAACAUCUGCGAAAGCAUUUGCCAAGGAUGUUUUCGUUAA
rnacentral:rRNA from 1 species